GAGGCCUUAGUCUCCGGCGGAGCUCGGCCGUGGAAACCACCCGUGCAUCCCGGGCCGCACAUUGCUUCGUUAUGGCUACUUUCACGCUCGCUGUGUCUUCAGGAGGACCUCAGGCCGAGCGCGGGGGCCCGUAAUUGAGCACCACAUGAGGAGGAGCUUGGCAGUGCACGUCGCCGCCCGGGCCACCGCACUCGCCGCCCUCACGCCCACCGCGCCCACCGCGUCGUCCCUGGGCAUGCCACGACCACAAGCCUCAGCCAAGUGCGCGUCGCCGGAGCAGUGUGGGUCACAGAAGUGUUCUUUGGAGUCGUGUGAAUUGAAGACGAGUGGAUGGCGAGGCUGUGACCUUCUGGAAUGCCGCCUCCACGGAACGCCAUACGUACGUUAACUCCCACGCUUCACCCCCCUCUGUUCUGUCCCCCCUGGACCCCCCCGCGGGAACACCACACGUAGCGCCCUCCUCCGCGCUU